rnacentral:rRNA from 1 species
UGGGGAAUUUUGCGCAAUGGGCGAAAGCCUGACGCAGCAACGCCGCGUGAGUGAUGAAGGCUUUCGGGUCGUAAAGCUCUGUCAGUGGGAAAGAAGUGUAUUGUGGCUAAUAUCCACGAUACUUGACGGUACCCACAAAGGAAGCACCGGCUAACUCCGUGCCAGCAGCCGCGGUAAUACGGGGGGUGCAAGCGUUGUUCGGAUUUAUUGGGCGUAAAGCGCGUGUAGGCGGUUUGUUAAGUCUGAUGUGAAAGCCCUGGGCUCAACCCAGGAAGUGCAUUGGAAACUGGCAGACUUGAAUACGGGAGAGGGUAGUGGAAUUCCUGGUGUAGGAGUGAAAUCCGUAGAUAUCAGGAGGAACACCGGUGGCGAAGGCGGCUGCCUGGACCGAUAUUGACGCUGAGACGCGAAAGCGUGGGUAGCAAACAGG